UCCCUGGUGGUCCGGCGGUUGAGACUCUGCUUCCAAGGCAGGGGACGCAGGUUCAAUCCCUACUUAGGGAA
rnacentral:tRNA from 1 species